CUUAGUUAAUGGUUUUUACUGUUUACUUCUUGAAUGUUUUGCAUCCCAGGAAGAAUUUUGCUUCUUGGAUGUCAGCACUGAAUGAGAUAGAAUCUUUAAGUUUAUUUUUGAAGAAUUUACCAAAAAAACCCCAUUUCUUCAUAUUCAGGACAGAAAGAACUUGCAGGGCGUUUAAAAAAAAAACUGCCUGUUGGAGAAAGUAAAUCUGGCAUAUGUCUGGCAUAUUUCCCAACCCAAAGCAUAAAAUGAGUGUUGUUGGUUAUGUUGUUGGUAUCAUUCUGCAGUCAUUAUUUGGGGUAUAAACCAUAGAUUUUGUGAUCACUUUUUAAAACUUAAAAAGACUCUCAUUCUAUUGGAAAAUCAAAUCAAAGUACUGGUUGUAUUUUGGCUAUGUUUCCAAAGAGCUUUGACAGAUACAUUAAUUCUAUUAAAAGAAUGAAAUCUCUGGCUGUACCCAUGAGGUUGUAUACCUAUCCAACUAAUGAGACAGCAAAUGUUAUAUGAAUCAUUGACAACCGAGAACUUAACCCCACUCUGUCUUUUGCUUAAACCAAGUGGCUUCAAGGGGAGGAUAUUCGCAGCAGAGAAAUACUAUGGGAAAGGUGCUCAUCCCUUGGUUUCUGUUGGGGGAUGAUGGAUGGCAGAGUGGAUUCCAAAAAUCAUCAUUCUGGUCUCACCGCCCCCUUUCUUCCGCAGGCUGACUUCUUUUUCGGAGAAACAGCACUGGCCAACAGAAUUCCAGCAGCCGGAGGUUCAGUUGUAAAUCCAACUGUUGUUAAACUUUAUUUACAUAUUUAUAUACAAAUAGAGUCAAUUGCCAUAAGUCCCAGACACAUGGCAGUGUCUCUUCGGCAACAGAGCCAUUCAGUUCUCAGUCCAUCCUCCGAGAAAGCUCACGCCGAACAACACAGAUAAGAUAAGAACACAUUCCUCUGUCCGGAGGAAGUUCCAACCCUCAAAAGGCCGCAAAUCAAUCCUGAUAGGUCAUAACAAUCACAACAGGCUGUCAGUCAAAACUAGCCUGCUGUUAACUAUUUCAUUACUGAAAAUACACACUCUAGCUUAUCAGCAGUAAACACUUGAUUUACAUUUCAUACAAAUACAACCAUACUCCAACAGUUUCCUUGUGUUUUUUAUCUGUUGCCAAGUUGCAGGUGAUAUCACAACAGCAUUGCUUAGAGUAGGGCCCCUUCCACACAGCUGAAUAAAAUCCCACAUUAUCUGCCUUGAACUGGAAUAUAUGGCAGUAUGGACCCAGAUAACUCAGUUCAAAGCAGAUAUUGUGGGAUUUUGUCUUGAUAUUCUGGGUUAUAGGACUGUGUGGAAGAGCCCUAGGUCUGCACAACCUGUGGCCCUCCAGCCAUUUCAACUCCCAGAAACCCUAACCAGCUUGUCCAAUGGCCAAGAAUUCUGGGAGUUGGAGAUCAAAACAACUGGAGAGCCACAGCUUGUAUAGGCCUGGCCUAGGGGCAUUGUCCAUCCCCUUUAUUUGCAAAUAAUUCUUUGUGUGUAUGUCUGUGUGUGUUGCUGCCUAUAUGUGCCUUCAAGCUGCCUACAGCACCUCAUAUUCUAUGACAGCCUCUUAUCCAAAUACUGAUCUUGCUUAACUUCCAAAUUCAGAAAGACCCUCGUCCAUUUAAGAUAUAGGGGCCACUAGAUAACUCAAAGUAUUUAUAGUUUUCAUUGUUCUGGCAGUUAUAGCCUAAAUCUAGCAGUGUGCCAGAAUUGAAAUACAUAAAAUAUCACUAAUCAUCUAUUGCUCAAGGGUUGAAAGCCAUUGCUGCUACUGAAUUCUGAUAAAACUUCUAGAUCAGUGGUUCUCAACUUGUGGGUCCGCAGAUGUUUUGGCCUACAACUCCCAGAAAUCCCAGCCAGUUUACCUGCUGUUAGGAUUUCUGAGACUUGAAGACCAAAACAUCUGGGGACCCACAGGUUGAGAACCAAUGCUCUAGAUUAUAACACUGAGUGGAAUGAAACUCAGAUUUUCUUUUCAAAUUUCACAGCAGCUCAGGCUGCAGGGAAUUCAGUUGUAAAUCAAGGGAUGUAAAUCAUCAAAUUUCAUUCUUGUUGGCAAAAACAAAUAAUUUCAUCAUUUUUCUUAACUUUGAAAAGAAUUCCUUUAAAAUUGUGCAAAGAUUGAUUCUGUGAAACAAAUACCAGACAAGGCAGAAUUUUGUGCAGAAAUUUUGUUUUCUACACAGAAAAUGUUUGCUGCUACAUUAAAAAUAUCAUUUUCUGAGUUAAAAACAGAAUGUCCUGUAAUACAGAGAUCUCAUUAAUCCAGGAGUCUCCUUAUCAGGGUUUUUUUAACUAUCUUUUUAUCUGGGAUUCAAAUAUUCAUGCAUAUUCUUUCUAUCCCCAGCCCAAAAAGAAGACAAUAUUGGAAUAUACCCGCAAAACUGCCAGGAAUCUAUCUUUUGGGCCCAUUAGUUUCCCAGCUCCACAUAGGCCACACAGCUGUAUAAAAUCCACAUUGAGCUGGGUUAUCUGGCAGCAUGGACUCAUAUUCUGGUUCAAAGCAGAUAAUAGUGGAUUAUCUGCCUUGAUAUUCUGUGUUACAUAACUGUGUGGAAGGGCUCAUAGAGGGUGAUAUACCAUGAACUCCAUCUUAUUAACAUAAUGGAUCCAAAAAAUCAAAGAAGCAUAAAGGAAAAUGGCAGCCCUACUAGAGCUUACUCCUUUUGUUGACUUAGUUUUUUCUGUCUUGUCUAUCCAAAAAUUCCCAUAAACCUUUCUUGCACUUGAAAAUGGUGAAGCCAUAUGACUUAAUAAAUAUUCUGUAAUUUUGUUUCGUUUUUAGUUUCCUAAAAGAGAUCUUUGGAAGAUUCUGCCUUUUAAAUUUGAGACAGACAAAAUUUAAGUGCCAUUCCCAAUUUAAGCAGUAACCUCUUUACUAUAAAACAGUAUAUGGUAUAUGUGUGCUGGUCAAUGUACAACAGACAAAGUAGUUAUUUAAAUGUUCAAUUGUGAUAAAGAUAAUUUGAGUUCUAUUGCACUAACUUGAAAUGGUUACUGAAUAAAACCAUCAACAUCCCAAGAGUAAUACCUCGUAAAUUAAUAUUUAUCAAGUAUUCUUUCCAAAAACGGUGAGUUUCUGGUAGUUUAUCAAGUGAUAUAAGACCUGUCACAUUAUGCAGUUUAAAUAUGCCCUACAAUACAUGCCUAUAAAACUUGCAAUAUAAAUGUCACUUUUUGAAAGUAUGCAAAUCCCAUGUCACUUGCAGGCUAUGAGUAAACAUUUUCUGAGCAUUAUCCAUCACUUUUUUCUGGAUGACAGUGCAACACUUUUGUACCAUUGAACUGAUAUAUAUUGAGGCUUGCUCAAGUGCAUUCUGUAUCUUGUAUGAUGAGUCAUGUUGAACAAUUCUGAAUCAGGAGUCUUGAAAUCAUCUCAUAUAUAUGAGAGACUCAGCAGUCCCUGGGGAAGAAACCUAACCUGUUUCUUAUUAGCAAUUUAGAUAAUUUGAUACCUUUUCCAGGGCAUGGUUCAGUACCUGCCAAUGAAUAGUUGGCACCUGCAAUACCUGUUCAAUAUUUUCAGAGCAUGAUGCAGAACCCAAUAUAGACGGCAAAGCAGUACAUCAUGUCAAAUUUCUUGAUCAUAACUUGGAACGUUUAGAACUGAGCUAAAUGAUACAUAAUAUGCAUACUAAGCUAAAAGAGACUCAGCACUUUUGCAUAUCAUAAAUCAAUGCAUUCUGAGUAUGAUUAGUAAUUUUGCAAUGCAUGACUUUGCUCUUGCUGAAAUAUUUUGCUACAGAACUUUUGUAAAGUAUGGCAAAAUAGUUCAGCAAAACAUAGCCACCAGUAUGACAAUGCGUUUUCUAGAGGGUUAGUACUUUUUUGCAUAACAUAACUUGUGAUUUAGGGUGAUUCUACACAGACACCAUAAUCUAAUUUGGAUUAAAACAAACUGGCUUUGCUGUGCAGCAUCUUCAAAAACGUUUCAGGAACUACUUCAUGGUUGGUCAUACUAUCCUCUGAUUGCAGGUGCGAACCAAACCCAGGAAUCACAGUAUCCGGCUGCUGGAAAAUGCUGAGCUUUUUGGCUUUAACCAGUCUGCUGAGAUGCACUGAUGCACUGUAGAUAAUCAAGAGUGUAUCCUGGUUUUGAGUCUUGCAUGGGAUAUACUCUAAACAGCUGCAGCACAUUAUCUGGCUUGGUGCAGGCAGCAGUGCGUAUUGGAGGUGUAUGUUUUGUGGAAACUCCGCCACUCAGCCAGAAUUGAACUACAUUAUAGAGCUUGUGUGGAACCACCUUUAAUGUCUCAAAGGUCUUCAGUAUGAAUCAGUAUGUAACAUUCAGAGUACACUGAAUGAAGCUCAGUUUUUUCUGUUGAAAUUCAACAUUUUUGGUUCAUUUGUGAAUACAGACCGGAAAUGAAUUUAUUCAUUACAAAACUAACGAGCAUUAUCUCAUUUUCAUCGUCAUUGUCAUCGUCAUCAUCAUCCUGGUUCAGAAUUGGUUCGAAGCAUCUUAUAUGAAUCAUGCUUGGAUUGCGGAUGUUAAAAAUAUGUCUUACUUUUCCAAUUCUUUAUGUGAAAACAAUAUCCUGACACUUGAGGCACAACAAAUCUUUGAGACAUCUUUCAGAACAAUAAAUCUACACGAAUGUUGUGAAUGAGUCUUCUGAGGCUGUGAGUGAUAAUGGAGGGAUCAGGAGAGGAAGGAAGAACCCUCGCGAGGAGGGCUCGCUGGAAGAUUUAUACAGGAAGAGAAUCAGGGAAACUAAUGAAGAGUCUUCCGAGGAAAAUUCAUGUGGGGACUUGGGAGGGGAUCUUGAGCUGGAAAUGGAUGCUGAGGAACCAGUGGUGACGAAGGAAGUUGGCACAGAUUGGGCACGGGUUCCGGAGGAUCUUGGGGAGGAAUCUGGGUCUAUGGAUGCUGUAAAUGCUGGAGAGGCUUGGGUAUCUUCAGAAGCAGAUUCCACAUGGUCUGCCUGGAGGAAUGAGGGUAGUUCCACAGGUGUAGAUAGAGUUGGGUGUGGGCAGGAUGAUCUUGAUUCUGAUGAGGAGUUUGGGACGCCUGAUCCAAGGGCAUUAGAGGCUUGGACGCAGAAGGAAACCUAAAUAAAUUGGGGAUCUUUGGUCACUAUGCUUUGCGUGUGGCAAGGUGUUGCUGGGCGCCAUUGGGUUUCCUGUACAUGAUUCUGAAGACUGGCUUGGGACUUUGCAACAGAUCUGCUGUUCACCUCUGUUGUCUUGGCUCUUUGUGCCAUUCCAUGACGUGGACCUUCUUGUGACGACUUCACCCUUUGGACCUUGGACUGGAACUCAACUCGGCUUAUCUCUUCACUCCCAAACUUGGCUUGACAUCAUUCCCGUCUUUGUGGCUGUCUACUGUUGCUGACUACUGGCUUUGUUCCCGACCCUGACGCGUUCUCCUUAUCCUGACUUCGGACCGGCUUGACUACGUUACAGCGCUCUGCUCCUUUAACUCUUGGCUCGGCGUUUGACUCUGCAGCGGUUUGCCGCUAACUCUUCAGCGUCUUCCAGUUUUGUUUGUUUUUGCCGCUCACAGUAAAGAGCUUUUUAGCCCGGUUUGGGUUUUUGUUUCAGUUUGGAAUAGCUGUUGUACUUCUGGGUUUUGGGAAAGUUUUUGGGGCUUCAUAACUGUUUGCCUUUGUUUGUUUUGCCAUUUUAAGCCCAUUUUGAGCUUUUGGGCUGAGUUCACAAAUUUUGCCAAGAAAAAUCAACAUUACGUUUGCUUUAGGCUUGCUAUAAAUUAGAAAUAACUUGAGGUCACACAGUGUUGUCCAUGUGGUCCAAAUUAUAUCAGUCUGUUUCUGAGAUACACAUAUACAUCGCAGGGUACAGAAGGAAAGGGUGUACAGCUUUUUAAGCCUUUGUUUACAUGAAAUUGGCAUUCCUAGAUACCAUUUUGGAUUAUAGUCUGCGGCAAAAUAAAUUCUCCAUAAUCUUAUCUAUGAUGUAGUGGGUGAAAGACAUGGCACCAAAAUAAAACGUGUUUGUUAUACAGUUGAUAUGAGAGGCUGUAUUUUCAUAUAUUGAGUUUGUAUAUUUUUCCAGUUCUUUAACUUUGUUGUAGUUUUCUCUCUUUUAGUUCAGGUUGCUCUCUCAUGCUAUGGAGUAGUCUAGUUCUGUCGCUUCCCUGGCAUUAGAACUGGUCUCCUCAGAAGAAAAACUUUUUGGAUUCACAAACUGAGAACAACCAUCCCUUAUGGUUUAAACAAUAGACUAGACCUCAGCUGUUACCUGUAUUCAUAUAUUUAAACCUUUAGAAAACCAUGAAUGACUGCUCGCGCCAUAGAAACCACAUUUCAGCAUACUGACACUGCAAAUAUAUAUACUUAAGCAGAGCCAACAAUAUACAAGUUGAAAACUAUUUGCUGCUUAUCAAUUGCCGCUUACCAGAAGAAGGACAACCGAAACUGGAGUAAACCCGGGAACCAGUAGUAAACAAACUAUUUCAAUCUGCAGCCAGCUACUUAGAAACAGCAAUCUCUUCUGCUAGCUGGGGAGCUAGAUAUGGCUCAUUUUGACCUACAACUACUCAGAAUCAACAUCCAUGCAUAGUUGUUCCCCAGACUUGGGAUCUUACUCUUGAUAAACUGAACUUACUUCCAAUAGACUGUAAUUUCAAGAGAUAUUGUACACACUUGAUGGCAUCAACAUAGGAUCUCAAAGAACUUUUGGUCAAGGAUUUUAUUCUAGAAUAAGAUUUUCAACACCUGUGAAGUCUUUAAAGAUAUAUUAACAAAUAUUAUUUUACAAAGGUUGAAUGUGUUUAUACUAUGUUGGUUGCAAAAUCCAAUUAGUGUCUUCAGAAACUGUUUAAAUAGUGGAGACUACUUGAUAUGUUUUGACUAGUCCACAUUUAAGCCUUGAUGAUUACAGUUUCCUUUAAACAUUACAGUCUGGAAGAUACUACUGUGUAUUAUAACAGUUGACUGUACUUAUUAUCAUUUUCAUUAUUGUUGUUAACUCUCAGGUGAAUAUUGUAUGUACAUAAUGCUCUAAAUUACAUAUUGCAUUUUAUGUUUUGAGCCUUUAUAGUAUUUGCUUAUCUUUUUAACAUAGAAAGAAGAUAGCUCUGUACUCAGAGAGGUCCGACUAUUUCUGUGGCCUUUGCAUGAUGCUCUAAUGUUCAUACCUCUUUUUAUGUUUUGAACCUUAUAGUGUUUGCUUAUCUCUUCAACAUUGUCUAGUAUAGACAUCUGUGUAUUUAUCAAUAUUUAUCAUUAAGGAGAAAUCCUUACCAGAAAGUCCUCCACAUGCUGCAAAAAAUGAACAUGCCUUAGUACCAAUGUUCCUUUUCCAUCAGCUUAUGCACAUUCUCCAGUGUUUCUCAGCAUUUUAUACAUAUUGACUAGAAGUCUUAAAUUCUCCAGGUUCAGUCAUGUGCACAUUUUUCACUGUUUGCAGUAAUGCUGGCAGCCCUGUUCACAACUUUCCAGACUGUGUGUUGAAACAUGUUAGUGUCUCAGCUGCAAUGUAUGUCAUGUUAACAUAACACUUUGGAGUCAAUGCAAAAUAAUAAAUCAUAUAUUUUAAAAUAUAUAAAAAUGAAAGAUUUUCAUGAGAGAUGUUGGGUUCCCAUACAUUUCAUUAUUACAAUUUAUGUAUGUGUUUGUAUUUCUUAUAACCUCUGCUUCGCUAAUAAAACUGAAAUACUAUGCCGUUAAAUGAUGCAUGUCUUAAAAGUGUGUAAACAAUAUGAAGUGUUUGGAAAGUUCUGUUUUAGUUAAAUAUUUGCUAUUCAAAAUUUUAUGUUAAAGGAAAGCUAUUUAGUACUCAGGAUGUCUAAUUAAGUACACCAUACUGGAAAAUUGUAAACUUCCCUUAAAUUGAUCAUCCAUUUGUAGAGCUUAUAAAUACCAAGAAUAAGCAAAAAUAUUUUAUGAAAUGUUUGUAGUCUUCAUUUUGAAAUCCUUAUCAAACGAUAUAAAUAUCACCUUCACUGCUUCACCCUGACACAUACAUUGUUUAUGUUCCUUAUUCAGAUUUAUUUUGGCUCAAUUUUAAAAUGCAGAUUGAGUAUAAUGAACUUUUUUUAUUUCAAAAAGACAGUCUAAUCUUUGAUCAAACUUGGAAGUUUGAUGAGGCCAAAUGAACAAUGUUUAAUUAAACUGCACAGCCAUUUUAUCUUGACAUUGUUCAUCCUUUUACAAGCCCACCCCAACCUCCCAGAUAUUUAGAAAUUUAUAAGACAAAUUAGAUCAAGUUGAACCAAAAGUUUUAGUAUUCAUAGAUAUUCCAUUAGGUUACCACAUGAAAAAAACAUAGUAGCUUCGUGUCAGUGGAGGAAGCUGAAAAUAUGGAUAUGAUUCUGAGAAGGGAGAGAUAAUUGGUUUGUUGGUCACUGAUAUAAAGUCAAUUAAAAGAGAGCAUUCAGAAUAGUUAUGUGGGUUUUUUCAGUCGCAGUUUCUAGGGAGUUUUCUAGAAAGUGAAAGGUUACAUAUUGUUCAUUCACUGACUAUUACGUUUCUCUCCUUUGUGGCUUUCAGAAGAUAUCUGUCUUGUCCAGGUCAGUAAAGCAUGUCUAGAGAACCAAAGAAACUUCCAACUAUGGAAUAUUAUAGAGACAAUAUUUGCAUUAACUCAAAGUUAAUUAAGACUGUUUGUCUUUCUCCUGCAACUAAUUUCUCCUUGCUUUGCCUGGCUAAGUUUAAUGUCAGUGGCAUUAGGAAUUGCUGCUUGAGAGAUUUGCAGACUUGAGUUGUAAGCUUUCCAAAAUACAACAUAUUAUGAUAUGGAUUUCCAAGCUAAUAAGUUGUUCAGUAUAUUCCAGUUCACAGAUAACUGUGGCUGAUUUGUGGAAGUGUUCAACCGAUUGUUUACCUUGGGAGAAUUUAAGUGAGUUGAUUGACUUGGGUAAACACUUGAUUGGCUUUAAAGAAUCAGUUUGAGAACCACUAAGUUCAACUGGACUUAAUUUGUGCAUACAAUUUAAAAUCACAGUUUUGAAUGGAUCUGUGUAAUUAGCUUGUAUUUAAUAAAGUACAUAAGGUACUCUG